UUCUUGAUGUAUACAUAUAUUCGUAUUGAAAGACCCCCGAAGGGAGACCCUCACUCAAGCCUCGGGACAGCCGCGGACCCAAGAAGACACUGAGACCG
rnacentral:pre_miRNA from 7 species